AGGGAUGGGGAAGGCAGAGGAAGGUUCCUGCUGGAAAAGGCUUGGAGAAUCCACUCUGGGAUGGCUUUGGCUUGGCCCUGCAGAGCAGCUCCAGUCUCCCUUGGCUUUGUGCUGACUUUAACCUUAAACUGCUCCUUGUCCCAAGCUUUGAGGACCCCCACAGUCAGAUCCAGCUCCUGCUCUGCCCCAGAGGUUCGUGCUGUUCCUCCAGACCAGGACAGAGAGCUGGACAGGCUGGGACUGG